UCAAGCUUGGCUGUCACAGCACCCUAGCUGUCAGUGUCCUUCUGGGUAGAACAGAUGGGGUAGAACCCCACAGAGUGUUCUAUUUCACUUAUAGAUGGGUGCCUGGCAACCAGGAUGUACCACCAAGGAGGCUGGGCUGCGGAGAGGAACCCAUCCUUUCUAAAUUCAAGGCACACCAGAAUGGAGACUAUUUUGGUGUCCAGUGAUUGAUCACCUGAAUGAUCGGGGAUUAGAUUCAGCACAGAGUGGACUGUCUACAUCUUACGAAGAUGCCACAGUUACCACAGCCCGACUCAACACUUCUGCUCUUUCGUGGGAUCCCAGGAAUAUAGGCAGAUUGCACACAGGAUCUCACAAUCCCUCAACUGUGAUCUGUCUCCAUGUUCUCAGGACCUGGCUUCAGUUCUUUCAGUACUGUGAGCUUAGUCCAGAUACGUGCCCUCCCUUGCCUUUCUAAGCAGAAAGCCAUCAGACGUGGCCUAGAAAACACCCCUCCCUGCAUUUUCCCUAGUGAGAGGCUCUAGUCCUCUCUGGCUACAGGUGACAAUUUGGAGAGAAGGAAGCAGUCAUCUUAAACAGGACUUGGAGAGCCAGGAAGCAACAUUCCUCCAAAUUCUCUGUUUCAGUUCCUGCCUGCAGGUUCCUGCCUUGAGUUCUCAUACAGAUUUCCCCAAAUUGAUGGACCCUGAAUUGUUAGGUAUCUGAAGUUCAUCACAGAUGAAACCCAUGACAAGCACCCCAUAGACUAAACUGCUUUUCACUCAAAUGUUUGCCGAUGAAACAUUUCUCCCCUGCACACAAUUCUUUCAGCCUCAUUUUAAAAUGCACGUGUUUAUAUUGAAUUAAAAGAGACAUCUUAAUAAA